UGCGUAACGCGUAUGCAACCUACCUUUUACAGGGGAAUAGCCUUUAGAAAUGAAGAUUAAUGCCCCAUAGUAUUGUAGACUGGCAUCAGUUUACAAUUAAAGAUUUAUCGGUAAAAGAUGGCUAUGCGUCCUAUUAGUUAGUUGGUAAGGUAACGGCUUACCAAGACAUCGAUAGGUAGGGGUCCUGAGAGGGAGAUCCCCCACACUGGUACUGAGACACGGACCAGACUCC
rnacentral:rRNA from 1 species